CUAGCGACUUCAGAGUUUGAUCCUGGCUCAGGAUGAACGCUGGCGGCGUGCCUAACACAUGCAAGUCGAACGGAGUAUAGAAGAAGCUUGCUUUUGAUAUACUUAGUGGCGGACGGGUGAGUAACGUGUGAGCAAUCUGCCUCUAUGAGGGGGAUAACACAGGGAAACCUGUGCUAAUACCGCAUAACAUAUUUUAGUCGCAUGACUUUAAUAUCAAAGGAGUAAUCCGCAUAGAGAUGAGCUCGCAUCUGAUUAGAUAGUUGGUGAGGUAACGGCUCACCAAGUCUACGAUCAGUAGCCGGACUGAGAGGUUGAACGGCCACAUUGGAACUGAGAAACGGUCCAG
rnacentral:rRNA from 1 species